rnacentral:lncRNA from 1 species
AGAUACCGCCUCCACCACAGUUCUGACAACUUGUUCCUAAGCAUUUGUCAACCUUGUUUGUAUUAUUGCCAGUGUUAUACAUGGCCGGACACUGCGCCACGCGACUGCAUUGCCAGCCACGAGGAAGUCUGACAAGUAUCACAAGCUCGAGGACUGACUGGACUAUAAAGUGGGACUUGUCUUAAAAGACCAGGAGCAACAUUGGAGAAGAUGCAGAAAGUGGCAUCUGUCUUUGCUACUCACAUCCAUACAGCAAUGAACAAAGGAGAACAGGACAGAGUUUCUCUGUGUAGCCCUGGCUGUUCUGGAAUUCGCUCUGUAGACCAGGCUGGUCUGAAUUCACAGAGAUCCACCUCUGCCACCUGAGUGCCUUCAGAUGAAGAUGUAGAACUCUCAGUUCCUCCUGCACCAUGUCUGCUUGGAUGCUGCCUUGUUACUGCCUUCAUGAUAAUGGACUGAACCUCUGAACCUGUAAGCCAGCCCCAAUUAAAUGCUGCCUUGGACAUACCAUCUCUUCACAGCAGUAAAAACCUAAGACAGGUGUGGUUAAGUUACAACACAACCUCCACUCACACAAGAUGAAGAAAAACCCAGGUGUUACUCUACACACAAAUUGGGCCAGUAAUUGGGAGACAUGUGCUUAGCCCACAGCUGCUGGCCCAGAGAGAGCUGGUACUAGAAUCUG